rnacentral:misc_RNA from 1 species
AGGUUGAGCAACUACAUAAGAUAUUCAAGCUGUGUGGCUCAGCUUCAGAUGAAUAUUUAAAGAGGGCAAAGUUGCCAAAUGCAGCCUUAUUUAGACCCCGAGAACCUUAUAAGAGAUGUAUAAAAGAGACUUUUAAGGAUUUCCCACCAUCAUCAUUUCCCCUUAUAGAAACACUUCUUGCAAUUGACCCAGCUGAGAGAAUGACAGCUACAGAUGCAUUGAAGAGCGAGUUUUUCACUUCAGAACCUUAUGCUUGUGAACCUUCUAGCCUCCCCAAAU